rnacentral:rRNA from 1 species
UACACAUGCAGUCGAACGAUGAACCACUUCGGUGGGGAUUAGUGGCGAACGGGUGAGUAACACGUGGGCAAUCUGCCCUGCACUCUGGGACAAGCCCUGGAAACGGGGUCUAAUACCGGAUACUGACCCGCUUGGGCAUCCAAGCGGUUCGAAAGCUCCGGCGGUGCAGGAUGAGCCCGCGGCCUAUCAGCUUGUUGGUGAGGUAAUGGCUCACCAAGGCGACGACGGGUAGCCGGCCUGAGAGGGCGACCGGCCACACUGGGACUGAGACACGGCCCAGACUCCUACGGGAGGCAGCAGUGGGGAAUAUUGCACAAUGGGCGAAA